rnacentral:rRNA from 1 species
GGUUAAGUUAGAAAGGGCGCACGGUGGAUGCCUUGGCACUAGGAGCCGAUGAAGGACGGGACGAACACCGAUAUGCUUCGGGGAGCUGUAAGCAAGCUUUGAUCCGGAGAUUUCCGAAUGGGGAAACCCACCACUCGUAAUGGAGUGGUAUCCAUAUCUGAAUACAUAGGAUAUGAGAAGGCAGACCCGGGGAACUGAAACAUCUAAGUACCCGGAGGAAGAGAAAGCAAAUGCGAUUCCCUGAGUAGCGGCGAGCGAAACGGGAUCAGCCCAAACCAAGAGGCUUGCCUCUUGGGGUUGUAGGACACUCUGUACGGAGUUACAAAGGAACGAGGUAGAUGAAGAGGUCUGGAAAGGCCCGCCAUAGGAGGUAACAGCCCUGUAGUCAAAACUUCGUUCUCUCCUGAGUGGAUCCUGAGUACGGCGGAACACGUGAAAUUCCGUCGGAAUCCGGGAGGACCAUCUCCCAAGGCUAAAUACUCCCUAGUGACCGAUAGUGAACCAGUACCGUGAGGGAAAGGUGAAAAGCACCCCGGAAGGGGAGUGAAAGAGAUCCUGAAACCGUGUGCCUACAAGUAGUCAGAGCCCGUUAACGGGUGAUGGCGUGCCUUUUGUAGAAUGAACCGGCGAGUUACGAUCCCGUGCAAGGUUAAGCAGAAGAUGCGGAGCCGCGGCGAAAGCGAGUCUGAAUAGGGCGAAUUGAGUACGUGGUCGUAGACCCGAAACCAGGUGAUCUACCCAUGUCCAGGGUGAAGUUCAGGUAACACUGAAUGGAGGCCCGAACCCACGCACGUUGAAAAGUGCGGGGAUGAGGUGUGGGUAGGGGUGAAAUGCCAAUCGAACCUGGAGAUAGCUGGUUCUCUCCGAAAUAGCUUUAGGGCUAGCCUCAAGGUAAGAGUCUCGGAGGUAGAGCACUGAUUGGACUAGGGGCCCCUACCGGGUUACCGAAUUCAGUCAAACUCCGAAUGCCGAUGACUUAUCCUUGGGAGUCAGACUGCGAGUGAUAAGAUCCGUAGUCGAAAGGGAAACAGCCCAGACCGCCAGCUAAGGUCCCAAAGUAUACGUUAAGUGGAAAAGGAUGUGGAGUUGCUUAGACAACCAGGAUGUUGGCUUAGAAGCGACCACCAUUUAAAGAGUGCGUAAUAGCUCACUGGUCGAGUGACUCUGCGCCGAAAAUGUACCGGGGCUAAACGUAUCACCGAAGGCGCGGACUGUUCUUCGAACAGUGGUAGGAGAGCGUUCUAAGGGCUGUGAAGCAAGACCGGAAGGACUUGUGGAGCGCUUAGAAGUGAGAAUGCCGGUAUGAGUAGCGAAAGAGGGGUGAGAAUCCCCUCCACCGAAUGCCUAAGGUUUCCUGAGGAAGGCUCGUCCGCUCAGGGUUAGUCGGGACCUAAGCCGAGGCCGAAAGGCGUAGGCGAUGGAUAACAGGUUGAUAUUCCUGUACCACCUCCUCACCAUUUGAGCAAUGGGGGGACGCAGGAGGAUAGGGUAAGCGCGGUAUUGGAUAUCCGCGUCCAAGCAGUUAGGCUGGGAAAUAGGCAAAUCCGUUUCCCGUGAAGGCUGAGCUGUGAUGGCGAGCGAAUUAUAGUAGCGAAGUUCCUGAUUCCACACUGCCAAGAAAAGCCUCUAGCGAGGUGAGAGGUGCCCGUACCGCAAACCGACACAGGUAGGCGAGGAGAGAAUCCUAAGGUGAUCGAGAGAACUCUCGUUAAGGAACUCGGCAAAAUGACCCCGUAACUUCGGGAGAAGGGGUGCUCUGUUAGGGUGCAAGCCCGAGAGAGCCGCAGUGAAUAGGCCCAGGCGACUGUUUAGCAAAAACACAGGUCUCUGCGAAGCCGUAAGGCGAAGUAUAGGGGCUGACGCCUGCCCGGUGCUGGAAGGUUAAGAGGAGCGCUUAGCGUAAGCGAAGGUGCGAAUUGAAGCCCCAGUAAACGGCGGCCGUAACUAUAACGGUCCUAAGGUAGCGAAAUUCCUUGUCGGGUAAGUUCCGACCCGCACGAAAGGCGCAACGAUCUGGGCACUGUCUCAACGAGAGACUCGGUGAAAUUAUAGUACCUGUGAAGAUGCAGGUUACCCGCGACAGGACGGAAAGACCCCGUGGAGCUUUACUGCGGCCUGAUAUUGAAUGUUGGUACAGCUUGUACAGGAUAGGUAGGAGCCUUGGAAACCGGAGCGCCAGCUUCGGUGGAGGCAUCGGUGGGAUACUACCCUGGCUGUAUUGACCUUCUAACCCGCCGCCCUUAUCGGGCGGGGAGACAGUGUCAGGUGGGCAGUUUGACUGGGGCGGUCGCCUCCUAAAAGGUAACGGAGGCGCCCAAAGGUUCCCUCAGAAUGGUUGGAAAUCAUUCGCAGAGUGUAAAGGCACAAGGGAGCUUGACUGCGAGACCUACAAGUCGAGCAGGGACGAAAGUCGGGCUUAGUGAUCCGGUGGUUCCGCAUGGAAGGGCCAUCGCUCAACGGAUAAAAGCUACCCCGGGGAUAACAGGCUUAUCUCCCCCAAGAGUCCACAUCGACGGGGAGGUUUGGCACCUCGAUGUCGGCUCAUCGCAUCCUGGGGCUGUAGUCGGUCCCAAGGGUUGGGCUGUUCGCCCAUUAAAGCGGUACGCGAGCUGGGUUCAGAACGUCGUGAGACAGUUCGGUCCCUAUCCGUCGCGGGCGCAGGAAAUUUGAGAGGAGCUGUCCUUAGUACGAGAGGACCGGGAUGGACGCACCGCUGGUGUACCAGUUGUUCUGCCAAGGGCAUCGCUGGGUAGCUAUGUGCGGACGGGAUAAGUGCUGAAAGCAUCUAAGCAUGAAGCCCCCCUCAAGAUGAGAUUUCCCAUUCCGCAAGGAAGUAAGAUCCCUGAAAGAUGAUCAGGUUGAUAGGUCUGAGGUGGAAGUGUGGCGACACAUGGAGCUGACAGAUACUAAUCGAUCGAGGACUUAACCAA